CCUACGGGUGGCAGCAGUCGAGAAUCAUUCACAAUGGGGGAAACCCUGAUGGUGCGACGCCGCGUGGGGGAAUGAAGGUCUUCGGAUUGUAAACCCCUGUCAUGUGGGAGCAAAUUAAAAAGAUAGUACCACAAGAGGAAGAGACGGCUAACUCUGUGCCAGCAGCCGCGGUAAUACAGAGGUCUCAAGCGUUGUUCGGAAUCACUGGGCGUAAAGCGUGCGUAGGCUGUUUAGUAAGUCGUGUGUGAAAGGCGCGGGCUCAACCCGCGGACGGCACAUGAUACUGCGAGACUAGAGUAAGGGAGGGGGAACCGGAAUUCUCGGUGUAGCAGUGAAAUGCGUAGAUAUCGAGAGGAACACUCGUGGCGAAGGCGGGUUCCUGGACAUUAACUGACGCUGAGGCACGAAGGCCAGGGGAGCGAAAGGGAUUAGAUACCCUUGUAGUC
rnacentral:rRNA from 1 species